ACGUAAAUAUAUCGAUCUCCCUCGAUCCUCUCAGGUUUACUCCACGCCAAAAGCGGGUGUGCUAGCACUAGCUUGCUGGAUCUCGUACCUUCUCUCAAACCACCCAAAACCCGACAAAUCUCUCCCCCAAAACGACGUUGUGUGUCUUCCGUAGACGCCAAUGGGCCAAUUGGCAACCUCAUGGUUUGCUGGAAGUUUACAUUGCUUUGAACUGGCCACCAGAUGGCCACCAUAUGGUUCCGGUGAACUGUUCGGAGCCAGGUAAGGUUCUUGCAAUCUGUGGGCGAGUGCUUUCUUUUGUUCUCCCCACGCGGCCUCCUCUACCCUCGCGGCCUAACGUUUUGCCUGGAACCCCUUUUACGAGCCUACGUACUCUGCUUGUGCAUACGUUUACGUUACGUGUACUACUGUACCAUACUCUACGUACUGUUCUUGUUUUACGUUUUGCUUUCUGUUUUUGGGCUGGUGCCUCCCUUAUAGUAUUGUGUAUCGGCUUUUACCGUUCUCAACCUCAAUGUUUAUACUUUUCAAUGUAGGCCCCACAAUGUGUGGCCCUCCGUAGUGCCAGACAUUCCGUUCGUAGUACCAAACAUGAUAUGAAGAGUACUUUCGAGUAUUAUAAGUAGUCAAACGACUUCGAUUUGUUGAUUCGUGAAAUUUUCCUCUAUAGGAACGUUAAAACAGCGAAAUACCACUCUAUUGGAUCUCUUCAUGGCUACACAUACACGUUUGGACUUUCGAUGUUUAUGUCCUCCAAGAAGAGUGCACUUUCUAAUCAGAGAGAGAAACUAAAUAAAAUUAAGGGUAAAUACAGUCUUUGGUUUAUUACAUGACUUAACUUCACAACAUGACGAUUAGUUAAUCAAGUAGUUCGUCACCACGCGUAACCGUACGUCACUACCAACUAAAUUCUACCUUCUUCUCGUCUCGCAAAUGAAUUCACCUAUUUAUUUGUUGUCCUUUACGUCCGAAAAGAGGAUUGAUAAAUUGAUAGCGGUUUUCAAGUCAAAACUAUAUAGUAGAUGGCUUGAUAGUAAAAAACACGUGGAUAAAAACAAAGGAGACAAAGACUUGGUUCACGUAGUCACACAUCAACCCAAAUUGUAAAAUAAAACAACGAAUCUACGGAGACAAAACCAAACAAAGAUGGUAAUAUCUGUACUAUCUAAGAUAAUUAUGUGGGAGAAAUACCAUCACGUCAAGUAAGCGAAACCUACUGUUUUUUUUUACUCUUGCUUUUAUACGAGGGUUUGUUACGAAGUCUAGGAUUUGUCCACGUCCAACAAGUUCGUUAAAUGCUACAGCCCCUUCGUUCUUGAGUACCAAAUGCCUCCAGAUAUAAACUCUCCAAACUGGCACUGGCUUCACCAUUUUAACUAUUUAGUCUCUGCCCGCGACGAGAAGAGUCAUACCCAUUAAGUCAAAGAGGUUGACACGAUCUGAGUGAGCACAGAUUUAAGCUGUCCUAACCCUGUACUCGUUUCGUCAGCUUAUACUGUUGAAAUAACUCACAACGGAAUGUCAUUUCCAUAAAAGGUAGUAAUAUGAUGUCUUUCUUUAUCUAAUAUCAAACCACGCGAUAACGAUACAGGCGGAGUGGAAAGAUGAGCCGUCGUAUAACGGGGCCGGACGCCCGUGACAGUCGAACUACCUACUACUACUAAAUUAUCAGUUCCCCGAAGGUGUCGAGAGACGGUAGACACAAUGGUAAUCGUCUUCCAUAUACGAGCUUCUUCGAUAGUUCGCCUAGCCACCAUGUUAAGUACGUAAGUUUGAAUGACUACUACUACUGUGGUGUCCUUACCGUAGUCACUUUUAGUUAGAGGUCGGGGUGUCGUUUUCGUACAACGGUUGGGUUAUCCACAAGAAACCUCUUAGUUGAGUCGAACGGCCGCUACGAUAACUUAGUUGUUCAAGACAACGAAACCGGAUAGACCACUGGUACCCGUAUCAAUGUUAUCUGCUAAGGUUGAGCCGCCUAACCAGUAGUAUACUAACACGUCUUAGGAAAGUCUUAGUCGAGCGGAGGAACUGGCGCUGUUUUUUCCCGGAGUAAGUCUCUCGCCGCUACCAUCGUCAGGUCGUGGAUUUACACAGUUGCUUAAUCUCUUACCGGAGUUGCUGUGACGGCCGAGCGACGGUGGUUUGCUUCUUUGUAGUUUGUUACUUUGCCUAGUGUCCGGGUCGUUCUUUUGUUUCAUACUGUACCUUUCGAACCGAGUACUUGUUUCGGCCUUCCGAGCGUGAUCAGUUCAGCCACGACUCACGAUAGGGUCAGGUGGUCGACGAGCGGAAACGGGGCGGGUUCUUCUGUGAUUUCGUCGAGCUCUUUUAGGUCGCCCCGAAAAACACCCGGCCGGCGCGUCAGCGGUUGCCUCCUUUGACAGUACAGUUAACCACGGCGCGGACGGCGGGGCACCUUAUACCACCGGAACCCUAGGCUCUGGACCUCGCGCGUCCGGAACGUGAUGCCGACGCUACCUACACCGAGCGGGCGUGCCUGUGCCUGGCGCGCACCGUUCCGGAACUAGAGGUCAAGAGGUUCCUCCUCGCACGUGACAAGAAACGUAGGUGAUGAUACUACGAGCCGCUACCGGCCUGUUGUGAGAAGAUCCUGCUGGCUACCUAGUCGCCGGUUAGACAGGCGCUCUAACGGGGGACGAUAUGGUUACGUAUGGGUUCGUCGCUGCGUUCUGUGCUUGUCACCGGCUACCUGAGUUGCCCUUGUGAACCCGGGCUCUGUAGGUUCCUUGGUAGCCCUAUGUGCUCUAACCGGUUAUGGACUACGAUACCGUCCGCUAUGUCGUGAAGUGGGAUAGCCUUCUUUGACUGGCUGACGAAACCUCUACCUGUUGUUCGCGAUGUAUAAGCUGGGUUAGAACGAUACGUCGGUGGAAGGUCCCUAGAUGUACGGCGGUGAGCACCUUCGACUAAACCUUCUCAACCCGCGGUGGGGCGCAGUUUAAGAAGGUGACCGAACGGAUGGUCCUGGCUACAACCUGCCGCUGUUCUGAACGGUCGGCGCCGGACAUCGUGGUGGGAUCCACGGAGGAGACGCUAGUUCUGGGCCUCUGGUAGGUUGUGGACGAUGACUGUACGGGCAAACGAUUCGUCUAGACCGUGGCGUGGGAUCUGACCUGCGUGUAGGGACGGGUUUGCGGCCGGUUACUGUGGUGGAACUACCUGACCACCGACGCCCGCUUCCGCGUUUGGGGAGGUUGCGACGUGUUUCGAGACGUUAGCUAGUGUGACGAGCAAGGGACCUACUAGACCUUUGUCUCCUUGCUCACGCAGAAACUGUUACGUUCUGGUAGCUAUCUACGCGAUCAACUAUCCUAAUUUCUGCUCCGGUUAACAACCCGUGUUCGACCCCGUAUCCCCGACGUUCAUCAGAACGGGCGGAGGACCCUACAGGUGACUAGCCUCCUCGAUCCUGGGACAUUUAUAUUGGAGGAUCCUCCGUACAUGAAAGGGUGGAAAAGUUACGUUACUUUGCGUUUUAGCGAAACGCAAAAGA
rnacentral:rRNA from 1 species